CACCGGGGAACUUCUGGCAACAUAGCUUCAUUUCGAGUGUUUCUUUACUUAGAAUGGAAUUGCAAAAGUUUUAUAUAUUUUGUCCUUUAUACAAAUCUAUAAUGAAAGGUUUUUUUAUUUUUUUUAUUUACUUUGACCACUAUACCUACUUACAUCUUAAAGACCGGAACUAUGGAAAGCUUGUACUUUGAAAAUAGCUGCUAUUUUAUUGAACAGUUAAUAGUUUUAAAAUUAUACCCUCACAUAGUCAUCAUGGAUGGAUGACUUAAAGGAACAUUAUAGUAUUAGGAAUGCAAAACUGUAUUCCUAAUACUAUAGUGUCCCUCUGCCCCCCAGCGAAGAAAGGGUUAACAUAUUCCUUAUCUCACCACUGGCUCAGUCGCCACCUCCUUCAACGAUUUUGCAAGGAGAAACCUAAUGUGCAUUUGCAGCAUGUAUCACAUGCAUUAGGUCUUCCCCAUAGAAAAGCAUUGAAUCUGUGCUUUCCUGUGUGGAUUUAAGACACUGGAUGUCUCCAAACUCUGUGACACAGCAGGAAGCACCUCUAGUGGCUGUCAAGUAGGCUGCCACUAGAGGCAGUCUUAACCCAGCAAUGUAAACAUUGUUGUAGUUUCUCUAAAACUGUAAUGUUUUACAUUAAUUGCAGGGCUAAAGGGAUAGAUCCUGCACCUGACCAGUUUAAUAAGGUGCCUAUGGUGUCCAUUUAAGCAAAAUAAGCAAAACUCUUGUAUGAAAUAGUUUUAGUUUUAAAAUGAAAUUAGUAAAUAUAAAUGUGCU